rnacentral:rRNA from 1 species
AACGUAGGACGCAAGCGUUAUCCGGAGUUACUGGGCGUAAAGCGCGGGCAGGCGGCUCGAAACGUCUGAUGUGAAAUCUCCUCGCUCAACGGGGAGAGGCCAUUGGAAACGGUCGGGCUGGAGGGCAGUAGAGGCAGGCGGAAUUCCGGGUGGAGUGGUGAAAUGCGUAGAUAUCUGGAGGAACACCGGUGGCGAAGGCGGCAUCCUGGACCGGCAUUGACGCUGAGGCGCGAAAGCCAGGGGAGCAAACGGG